rnacentral:rRNA from 2 species
GAUGAACGCUGGCGGCGUGCUUAACACAUGCAAGUCGAACGAAGCUCCUAAACCUGAGAUUCGUCAAGGGGGCGGGAUGACUUAGUGGCGGACGGGUGAGUAAUGCGUGAGCAACCUGCCCUUCAGAGGGGGACAACAGUUGGAAACGACUGCUAAUACCGCAUAAUGUAUCGAGAAGGCAUCUUUUUGAUACCAAAGAUUUAUCGCUGAAGGAUGGGCUCACGUCUGAUUAGCUAGUUGGUGAGGUAAUGGCUCACCAAGGCUGCGAUCAGUAGCCGGACUGAGAGGUUGGCCGGCCACAUUGGGACUGAGAUACGGCCCAGACUCCUACGGGAGGCAGCAGUGGGGAAUAUUGGGCAAUGGGCGCAAGCCUGACCCAGCAACGCCGCGUGAAGGAAGAAGGCUUUCGGGUUGUAAACUUCUUUUGGCAGGGACGAAACAAAUGACGGUACCUGCAGAAUAAGCUCCGGCUAACUACGUG